CCUGUCAUCGUCUAGUGGUUAGGACACCAGGUUCUGACGAGUUCUCCGAUGCCUCCUGGUAACCCCGGUUCAAACCCGGGUGACAGGU